UACGUAGGGGGCAAGCGUUGUCCGGAAUCAUUGGGCGUAAAGCGCGUGUAGGCGGCCCGGUAAGUCCGCUCUGAAAGUCCAGGGCUCAACCCUGGGAUGCCGGUGGAUACUGUCGGGCUCGAGUCCGGAAGAGGCGAGUGGAAUUCCUGGUGUAGCGGUGAAAUGCGCAGAUAUCAGGAGGAACACCAAUGGCGAAGGCAGCUCGCUGGGACGUGACUGACGCUGAGACGCGAAAGCGUGGGGAGCAAACAGG
rnacentral:rRNA from 1 species